rnacentral:ncRNA from 1 species
AUGAGUAACGAAAAGCAAAGGCUCGCCUAAAGCUUAUGGAAUUUAAUAAAAUCGGUCUCUAAGUUAACGGUAAAAACCGUAAAUGUCUGGUUAAAUCGUUGUCCCAGAGAUACAAACUCUAAAAAACGUAACCCUUUUGAGAGAGUACAUUUAUUGGUAUAUUUAUCUUUAUAAAGGUGGAUAUAGGAAAAGAGGAAAUGGGAUUCAUUUUGCUUAAUAAUCAAUUAUUAUUUUCAAGGGGCAUUGUAACGAUGAGAAGGAAAAUAAGAAAAGACUUUUAGUGAAAAAAGUUCAAGAAAAUCUUAGUCAAUCAAGAUUGAAUAUUAAAUGCAUUCAAUCGAGGUUAUAAUAAUAGAAGUAGCCCUAAAACUAUAUUCUAUUGUUAUAAAAAAGACCGUACCUAAAACCUAACACAAGUAAGCAAGUAGAGAAUACGAAGGCGAUUGAGUUAUCAAUCAUUAAGGAACUCGGCAAAAUGACUCCGUAACUUCGGGAUAAGGUGUGCCAUUUUGUAUUUUAUAAAAUUAAUGGGUUUUAUAUUAUAUAAAAAAGGAAGCAUAAAAUAGUGUUGUACGACUGUUUAAUUAAAACAAAGCACUCUGCUAAGAUAUAAAUCGAUAUAUUGAGUGUGAUGUCUGCCCCGUGUCGGCUGGGUAACGUAUGAGCUUAACAUAUAAUAUAGUUAGGUUCUAAAGGAAACCCCGAUAAACGGCGGCCUUACCGAUAAGGGUCCUAAGGUAGCGGAAUACCCUGGCCGUUAAAUGCGGUCUUGCAUGAAUGAUGUAACGAUACAACAGCUGUCUCGAUGAUUGGCUCAGUGAAAUU